AUUGAACGCUGGCGGCAGGCUUAACACAUGCAAGUCGAACGGUAACAGGUCUUCGGAUGCUGACGAGUGGCGAACGGGUGAGUAAUACAUCGGAACGUGCCUAGUAGUGGGGGAUAACUACUCGAAAGAGUGGCUAAUACCGCAUGAGAUCUACGGAUGAAAGCAGGGGAUCGCAAGACCUUGUGCUACUAGAGCGGCCGAUGGCAGAUUAGGUAGUUGGUGGGAUAAAAGCUUACCAAGCCGACGAUCUGUAGCUGGUCUGAGAGGACGAUCAGCCACACUGGGACUGAGACACGGCACAGACUCCUACGGGAGGCAGCAGUGGGGAAUUUUGGACAAUGGGCGCAAGCCUGAUCCAGCAAUGCCGCGUGCAGGAUGAAGGCCUUCGGGUUGUAAACUGCUUUUGUACGGAACGAAAAGCCCUGGGUUAAUACCCUGGGGUCAUGACGGUACCGUAAGAAUAAGCACCGGCUAACUACGUGCCAGCCGCCGCAGUAACAC
rnacentral:rRNA from 1 species